AGGACGCUGGGAUCCGGGGUCUUGGGCUCCGUCAGAGGGAGUCUUGGAGACCGCCUGGUGGCGGCCGCGGCGUUGCCAUUCGCACGAUUUCACUGCAGGCUUGCUGUUUGAGUGCCGUGUUUCUCACAGCAUUGGAACAGCCGUCCUGAAGCAGGGAUGUGCCUCAGGUCUAACCGGCUGUGCACAUGGGGGGUCAGGGCCAGGCGUUUCGCGUAGCCCUGGAAGUGCUUGUUGGAACCCCACGCCCCACGUUGGAGUGCCUGAGUUUGAGUCUUGGCUCUGCCUCUGAUUCCGGGUCUGUGCUAAUGCACACCCUGGGAGGCAGCAGGUGACGGUCAGGUAGUUGGGUCCCUGCCACCCACAGGGCGACCUGGACUGAGCUCCUGAUCCCGGGCACCUGGGGAGUGAGCCAGUGGUUGGGAGAAGUCUGGCUGUCUGCCUUGUGAGUAGCUUAAGUAAAUAAAUAACAAGCCUUUAAAGAUGGUCCCUAAUCACCUCCUGCUGGGGUGUUCAAAGAGAAAAUUAACUGUGAAUGAUGGUUUUGAGUUGCGGAAGGAUAAUUUCUGAGAAAAUAAACUGAGAAGCAGAACAAAACACGUAACAUGUAUGAAAGUGCUGAAGAAUGGCGUGAAGAAAUGUAUGUCGUGCCUUCGGCAGGGCGUGCAUUUCUGCAUCUAGUGGUGGUCUUUCUAUACUUUCACUGCGUGGAGUCGAUAUCUAUAGGAGUGAGGAAACAGCUCAUCUAGACGGUCCACAGCAUUCCCGGGGCUCCAGACCUCUUGCUGACAUUCUUUUCUGUCGGGAGAAGUUAGUAUGUUCUUCACUGGCGUUAGUGGGCAUCCUCAGAACACUGGUCCAUGUGUUGCUGUGGUAACCAGUAGGCCAUGGGACUUGGGCUUGAGGUGUUCCCUGCUGUGUGCUGGAGGGCAGGUGCUCGCCCACCUGGGAGUCUGCAGGCCGCAGACCCAGGCUUGGGUCCCGCUUCACACCUGCUUCUCUUGGGAAAGGGCCGAUGCUGGUCUCUUCACAGUGGAUUGGUAAGAAUUAAAAUCUACCGUGAUUCAUGUAAAAUGUCCACUAUAAAGGCUGAUACAUAGCUGUUAGUAGCUACUGUUUUUUUUUUUUUUUUAAAGAUUUAUUUAUUUAAUUUGAAAGUCAGAGUUACACAGAGAGAGAAGGAGAGACAAAGAGAGAGGUCUUCCAUCUGCUGGUUCACUCCUCAGUUGGCUGCAAUGGCAGGAGCCGUGCCGAUCCGAAGCCAGGAGCCAGGAGCUUCCUCCAGGUCUCCCAAGUGGGUGCAGGGGCCCAAGGACUUGGGCCAUCCUCCACUGCUUUCCCCGGCCAUAGCAGAGAGCUGGAUCGGAAAUGGAGCAGCCGGGUCUCGAAUCGACUCCCAUAUGGGAUGCUGGCGCAGCAGGAGGCAGCCUACCCACUGUGCCACAGCACCGGCCCAGUAGCUACUGUUUUUAAGCAAUUAAGUCAUUUUUGUGUUCUGUGUGUGUUGCAAGAAUAUUUGUAAUCACUUGAUUACAAAACAUUUGGACUACAAGGAUUACGCCCAACGUGAACACAGGUGAGUAAGUAGCAGUCUGGGCAGUUCAGCACACAGAGGUAGGGAGUCUGCACUCACACCUCUGGAGCCUCCACUCACGGGAACCCCGUCCCGGGAGGAGACGCUGCUGCCUGAGGGCCGAUGUCUGCCCACGGCGUGGUCUGCACUCGCACCUCUGGAGCCUCCACUCACGGGAGCCCCGUCCCCGGAGGAGACGCUGCUGCCUGAGGGCCGAUGUCUGCCCACGGCGUGUUGUGAGCCCUCCCGGCUUCCCCGGAGAAGUGCUGGAGGCUCAGCGGGGCUUUCUGAUCUUGUGCCUUUGCUUAGUUUUGUUCCUAAGUAGUCACUAGAAUUGUUUUUGUUGCUAAGAUUUUUCACAUUUAUAUGAAGGGUAGAGUCAGAGAUAGGGACACACACACACACACACGGAGAGAGAGAGAGAGAGACUAUAGGUACUCUUCCAUCUGCUAGUUCACUCCUCAAAAGGCCACAGUGGCCAGAGCUGGGCCAGGCCAAAGCCAGGAGCUUCUUCUGGGUCUCCAUGUGGGUACAGGGGCCCAAGUACUUGGGUUAUCAUCUGCUGCUUUCCCAGGCCUUAGCAGAGAGCUGGGUUGGAAGUGGAGCAGCCGGGACUCGAACCAGUGCCCAUAGGGAUGUUGGCAUUGCAGGUGAAGGUUUAAUCUGCUACGCCAUAGUGCUGGCCCGAGGUGGGUGGUUGUUAAAGUAACAAUAUAUAAUAAACAGAUCAAAACGCUGUUGCUGACAAGCUGUUGUAAGUGUUUUAUUUCUGUUGCACUGCUUGCUAAGGGAUCUGAAGUAGUUCUGACCCCUGUCAUGACAGGUACCACUUGCAAGGUUUGUGCAUUUGUGUUUUUGUUUGAGAAAACUCCCAAAUCACAUAGAGAAGUGGUACAAACUGGUAUUAUUGAAAACAAAGUAGUAAUUUGUUUUGCUUUUUCAGUAUAAAAUACCCUAAGAAAGACAAAAGCACUAACCAGGCCUGACCCUGCGUAGCUUCUGAGAUCAGAGGAGACUGGGUAUGUUCAGGGUGGAAUGGCCAUAGAGGACAAAACAACUCUUAAACGUGAAGGGUGUGCUGCCUCCUACACUCCGCCCGCCUUCUGGGGUGAAGCAAGCCAGCACGGCUGGUGCUGUGCCACUUACAGACCCCGUUUAGCCAGGUGCGUUUGGAAAGUGAGAGGUCAUAAAGUGUUGUUUCGUCGUGUCUGAGUGCUCUUGAAUUGGCUUGUUCUGAGAGUCAUGUCGCUAAUACUCCUCCAGUUCUGUUGCGUGUGAGCUCAAACGUUGGCUCAACUGCUGCUGCUGCUGCAGGGACUUGGUGAGUGCCGUGUGGGCCGUAGCAGUGCUGGAGGUUGUCCUGCGGAGUGAGCCGUGAGCCCGGCCUCCCCAGCCGAGGGUUGUCCGCUGCGUGCAGCCCAGGUCCAGGUCAGCUGCCUUGUCUUCCAGGGACCCGGGUCCAGGUCAGCUGCCUUGUCUUCCAGGGACCCAGGUCCAGGUCAGCUGCACUGUCUUCCAGGGACCCAGGUCCAGGUCAGCUGCCUUGUCUUCCAGGGACCCGGGUCCAGGUCAGCUGCCUUGUCUUCCAGGGACCCGGGUCCAGGUCAGCUGCCUUGUCUUCCAGGGACCCAGGUCCAGGUCAGCUGCACUGUCUUCCAGGGACCCGGGUCCAGGUCAGCUGCACUGUCUUCCAGGGACCCGGGUCCAGGUCAGCUGCCUUGUCCUCCAGGGACCCGGGUCCAGGUCAGCUGCACUGUCUUCCAGGGACCCGGGUCCAGGUCAGCUGCCUUGUCUUCCAGGGACCCGGGUCCAGGUCAGCUGCAUUGUCUUCCAGGGACCCGGGUCCAGGUCAGCUGCAUUGUCUU